rnacentral:tRNA from 1 species
GCGCCUGUAGCUCAGCAGGAUAGAGCAACGGACUUCUAAUCCGUAGGUCGCAAGUUCGAAUCUUGCCAGGCGCGCCA